ACGGAAGGCAGCAGUGGGGGAUAUUGCACAAUGGGGGAAACCCUGAUGCAGCAACGCCGCGUGAGGGAAGAAGGUUUUCGGAUUGUAAACCUCUGUCUUUGAGGAUGAUAAUGACAGUACUCAAGGAGGAAGCUCCGGCUAACUACGUGCCAGCAGCCGCGGUAAAGCGUAGGGAGCAAGCGUUGUCCGGAAUUACUGGGUGUAAAGGGAGCGUAGGCGGAUGUGCAAGUUGAAUGUGAAAUUUAUGGGCUUAACCCGUAAACUGCGUUCAAAACUGUAGAUCUUGAGUGAAGUAGAGGCAGAUGGAAUUCCUAGUGUAGCGGUGAAAUGCGUAGAUAUUAGGAGGAACACCGGUGGCGAAAGCGAUUUGCUGGGCUUUAACUGACGCUGAGGCUCGAAAGCAUGGGGAGCAAACAGGAUUAGAUACCCUGGUA
rnacentral:rRNA from 1 species